AUUGAACGCUGGCGGCAUGCUUUACACAUGCAAGUCGAACGGCAGCGCGGGCUUCGGCCUGGCGGCGAGUGGCGAACGGGUGAGUAAUGCAUCGGAACGUGCCCAGUAGUGGGGGAUAGCCCGGCGAAAGCCGGAUUAAUACCGCAUACGACCUGAGGGUGAAAGCGGGGGACCGAAAGGCCUCGCGCUAUUGGAGCGGCCGAUGUCGGAUUAGCUAGUUGGUGGGGUAAAGGCUUACCAAGGCGACGAUCCGUAGCUGGUCUGAGAGGACGACCAGCCACACUGGGAGUGAGACAGGCCCCAGACUCCUACGGGAGGAGGCAGGGGGGAUUUUGGAACAAGGGGGGCAACCCGGCUCCGGCCGGGCCGCGGGGGGGAAGAAGGCCUGCGGGUUGAAAACCGCUUUUGUGGGGGAAAAAACCCUUGGGGCAAAUCCCCGGGGGGGAUAACGGUCCCGGAAGAAUAAGCCCCGGCUAACUACGUG
rnacentral:rRNA from 1 species